UACGUAGGGUGCGAGCGUUAAUCGGAAUUACUGGGCGUAAAGCGUGCGCAGGUGGUUGUGUAAGUCAGAUGUGAAAUCCCCGGGCUCAACCUGGGAACUGCAUUUGAGACUGCACAGCUAGAGGAUGGCAGAGGGGGGUAGAAUUCCACGUGUAGCAGUGAAAUGCGUAGAGAUGUGGAGGAAUACCGAUGGCGAAGGCAGCCCCCUGGGCUAUUUCUGACACUCAUGCACGAAAGCGUGGGGAGCAAACAGG
rnacentral:rRNA from 1 species